UACAGAGGCCUCGAGCGUUAGGCGGAAUCACUGGGCUUAAAGCGUGUGUAGGCGGACUUCUAAGUACCUUGUGAAAUCCCACGGCUCACCCGUGGAACUGCUUGGUAUACUGGUUGUCUUGAGCCUUCUAGGGGCGAGUGGAACAAAUGGUGGAGCGGUGAAAUGCGUAGAUAUCAGGAGGAACACCAAUAGCGAAGGCAGCUCGCUGGGACGGUACUGACGCUAAGGCGCGAAAGCGUGGGGAGCGAACAGG
rnacentral:rRNA from 1 species